UUCGUCCAGGGAUGUGCUCGCGGCCUAUCAGCUUGAUGGUGAGGUAAUGGCUCACCAUGGCUUCGACGGGUAGCCGGCCUGAGAGGGUGACCGGCCACACUGGGACUGAGACACGGCCCAGACUCCUACGGGAGGCAGCAGUGGGGAAUAUUGGACAAUGGGCGGAAGCCUGAUCCAGCAACGCCGCGUGAGGGAUGACGGCCUUCGGGUUGUAAACCUCUUUCAGCAGGGACGAAGCGCAAGUGACGGUACCUGCAGAAGAAGCACCGGCCAACUACGUGCCAGCGGCCGCGGUAAUACGUAGGGUGCGAGCGUUGUCCGGAAUUAUUGGGCGUAAAGGGCUCGUAGGCGGUUUGUCGCGUCGGGAGUGAAAACCAGGUGCUUAACACCUGGCUUGCUUUCGAUACGGGCAGACUAGAGGUAUUCAGGGGAGAACGGAAUUCCUGGUGUAGCGGUGAAAUGCGCAGAUAUCAGGAGGAACACCGGUGGCGAAGGCGGUUCUCUGGGAAUGACCUGACGAUGAGGAGCGAAAGUGUGGGGAGCGAACAGGAUUAGAUA
rnacentral:rRNA from 1 species